rnacentral:rRNA from 1 species
AAUAGAUACCCAGGUAGUCUACGCCGUAAACGAUGAGUGCUAAGUGUUAGAGGGUUUCCGCCCUUUAGUGCUGCAGCUAACGCAUUAAGCACUCCGCCUGGGGAGUACGGCCGCAAGGCUGAAACUCAAAGGAAUUGACGGGGGCCCGCACAAGCGGUGGAGCAUGUGGUUUAAUUCGAAGCAACGCGAAGAACCUUACCAGGUCUUGACAUCCUCUGCCAACCCUAGAGAUAGGGCGUUCCCCUUCAGGGGACAGAGUGACAGGUGGUGCAUGGUUGUCGUCAGCUCGUGUCGUGAGAUGUUGGGUUAAGUCCCGCAACGAGCGCAACCCUUGAUCUUAGUUGCCAGCAUUCAGUUGGGCACUCUAAGGUGACUGCCGGUGACAAACCGGAGGAAGGUGGGGAUGACGUCAAAUCAUCAUGCCCCUUAUGACCUGGGCUACACACGUGCUACAAUGGAUGGUACAAAGAGCAGCGAACCCGCGAGGGUAAGCCAAUCUCAUAAAGCCAUUCUCAGUUCGGAUUGGU